AGAAAAACACAGUUCCUACUGCAACUUUUCUUUUUUGGGGAGGUCAUAGGACAAAAGCUUGAUAUAUUCUCCAAGCCAUGCUCUUCUAAUUUUUUUUCCUGUUUUAACGCUCUUUUUUUUCCAAAUUUUGUCUGUGAGCUCCGUCUCUUCUUCGCUUUCCCACGCUGGCUGAAUGUGCCUUGACCCCCUUCAGAGAAGUUUGACACAGAGCAGGAACAUUUCCGCAUUCCUCCCGACUACAAAGACAAACCGCCUCCUUUUGCCCUCCUUGGUUCUUUAUCAUUCAUAGUUCUCUCUCUGUUUUGUCUCAGUGUCAAAACCAGCAGCACCACGGGGGGAAAGCUGGGCAGCAAGAAAAGUGUAUUUGAUGGACCAGUCGAUCUAUCCCGCCAUUGAAAACUAUUCGUUGACAAUACAUCAGCGGGGAAGCAGGGUGACAAGCUCGCCUCUGGCCCAUAAGGUCAGGUUCAAGGACCAGUGGCUUGGGUUGUGUCAGGGGUGAUUCUCCCAAAGCGCUCCUUCGAGGAUGCUCUGUUUCACUGCUUCAUCCAAACGUGAGAUGCCAACUGCACACGUGAGAGAUAGUCCACAGCUUUAAAUGGACCUGAGCCCUAGGACCAUGCCUCAUGACUACCUGACAUGAUGACUCCUUGCUGUCCCCAGUCCACCUGGCCGUGCUGCUGCUCCAGUUUCACCUGUUCUGCCUUAUUAUUAUUGGACCAUGCUGGUCAUUUAUGAACAUUUGAACAUCUUGGCCAUGUUCUGUUAUAAUCUCCACCCGGCACAGCCAGAAGAGGACUGGCCACCCCACAUAGCCUGGUUCCUCUCUAGGUUUCUUCCUAGGUUUUGGCCUUUCUAGGGAGUUUUUCCUAGCCACCGUGCUUUUACACCUGCAUUGCUUGCUGUUUGGGGUUUUAGGCUGGGUUUCACUUUGAGAUAUCAGCUGAUGUACGAAGGGCUAUAUAAAUACAUUUGAUUUGAUUUGAUUAGGUAAAGGUGUUAUAACACAGAGGUAAAGGUGCUAUAACUCCUAAAUAAAGGUUCUAUAACUCAAAGAUAAAGGUUCUAUAACUCAGAUGUAAAUAUGUAAUAACACAGAGGUCAAUGUGUUAUAACACAGAGGUAAAGGUGUUAUAACACAGAGAUUAAUGUUUUAUGACGCAGAGAUAAAUGUGUUAUAAGACAGAGUAAAAUGUUUUAGAAGACAGAGAUAAAUGUGUUAUAACAUAGAGGAAAAUGUGAUAUAACACAGAGGGAAAGAUGUUAUAACAGUGAUAAAGUGUGUUACAACACAGAGGUACAUUUGUUAUAAUACAGAGAUAAAUGUGUUAUAACACAUAGGUAAAGGUGCUAUAACUCCUAAAUAAAGGUUCUAUAACUCAGAGAUAAAGGUUCUAUAACUCAGAGGUAAAGGUGCUAUAAAACAGAGGUAAAGGUGUUAUAACACAGAGGUAAAGGUGCUAUAACUCCUAAAUAAAGGUUCUAUAACUCAGAGAUAAAGGUUCUAUAACUCAGAUGUAAAGGUGUUAUAACACAGAGGUAAAGGUGUUAUAACACAGAGGUAUAGAACAACAGUAAUGGUGGAACUUGAACCGAUAAACAAAGCCAGUUGUUUAUUUGCUCCUUGAGUUUUGUCCCCCUCAACUUCUCUGUUCUCUCCUCAGGAUGAAGAAGAAUAAAGCCUGUUUUGCAGCUUUACCGCCACGUUAAUCAUCCCUUGUUGAAACGUUUAAAUACACCCACAUUACAGUUGAAACACAACACCAGUCGAAGCAAAUACCUUUGUACCAGUAUACCACAGAAUCUGUCAUGACAGUUUCAAGCGCAAUACGUGGAAUGUAGUUUGUUAACCAAACCCACCCUUUUGGGAAUUUACAAGUCUCUUGUUUUUCAGACGAGACCACUGUCAUUGCCCUGAAUGUCACCAUAUGACAAAGUUUGACAAGAGAGUUUGACAGUUAUGAAUAAGACAUAUAAUUGGCAGCCUUUUAGCAGCCUGAAAGCUGUGGGGUUAAGACAGUUUGUCUCUUUAACCCGAGGCUUAGCAUGGAUAAAGUGAUAACAUAAGCCUGGCUGGAGAGAUAAAGUAGAACAGUAGACCUCUUGGUUGGACACUUCCCAGUUGCUGAUGUUUUGAUCAUGGCUCCUGCACUCUGUUGAGGUAAACUAGACAUCUACUGUUGGGUCUCAGGUCAAUGACCUAUAAGCAUUGGUACUUUUCUGAUCGUCUAAUUCUAAAUGUACAGUGUAUAAAAUCUUUAGAUAUGCUGUACCUCAAAUUGGUUCAUUUCAAAAAGAGAGUAUGACGAAUUUGAGAGGAUCCGGGCAUGGCUGGGGAGAUUUGGACAGUCCAGUCUUUCUUAAUCCACAGAGAAGAUCACUGUUAUAAACCCUGCAUAAAAUCAGGAGACAAUGCUAGGUUGUUUUCUGUGUUGGCUUGAUUUUCCCUUUUUUUCAAGUCAAACUGAAGACCAGAGAGCAGCCAGCUAGUAAAGCCUUCCCUUCCCCAGCCCAGGCCCCUCAAAACAAGCCUCUUUCUGUUGGGAAUCUCCAUGGAAACCAAGCAACUAACUUGAGGAGGGAUAUAAAACCUGCUCUUUGAGAGACUGAAGGAACACCUGCCACCUCUACAGAUGGGGGUCAAAAUAGACUGACACACUGCCACCUCAUAAUGAACAGAGGGUUGUGUAACAUUUAAAUGAGUCCCCGUCCCGAACAUCUGCUCAUCGUCAAUUACCUAUUCACUGAUAACUCCUAUUUUCUCUGUUAAAACAGACCCAAUCUUUACUGGAAAUCACUUGAUGCAAUAGUGUAGUCAUUUAUGAGUAUUGGUUCAGAUUGCAGAUCAGUUAAAAUGACAGUAAUAACUGAUAUGGACGGUUCAUCAUUCUAAGAUUGAAGAUGUUAGGUGCGUAAUUGAUUUGGGAAUCUGCAUCACAUCUUGAAGUCCGAGAGCUCUGAAGGUUUUGAAAAUAAGAUAUUUGGUUGUGUGGCCGUUAGUUUGUACAUAACAUGGGUUCCAUUGAAAUCCAGCAACUGCAUGUUUCUGGUAGCGACACCACACUAUCCCCUGGCUGUUACUGUCAAAGCAAAAAGCUGAUGUUGUACAUACAUAGCCUGAACACCUUAACACCUGCACAAUAUAGCCUUAACACCUGCAGAAUAUAGCCUUAACACCUGCAGAAUAUAGCCUUAACACCUGCAGAAUAUAGCCUUAACACCUGCAGAAUAUAGCCUUAACACCUGCAGAAUAUAGCCUUAACACCUGCAGAAUAUAGCCUUAACACCUGCAGAAUAGCCACGCGGUUGUUGUUUUACUGCUGCUCUUUAAUUGUUACUGUUUUUUCUUUUUUAAACUGCAUUAUUGGUUAAGGGUUUGUCAGUAAGCAUUUCACUGUGAGGUCUACACCUGUUGUAUUCGGUGUAUGUGACAAAUAACAUCUGAUUUGAGAACCACAACAUAAAUAAAAGAAAAGUACUGUUAACCACACCAACAUUA